rnacentral:lncRNA from 1 species
UAUAAAACAGGAUGACCCUGUCAUUCUGAUUAACAUCAGAGCAGGUGAUGGAACAGUGAUGGGGUGGGGGUGAAAUAAGUCAGAGGAGAUUAAAGCAUCCAAUAUGUUGAAGUAUUUCUAAAGAAACUUCUUCCCCUUGCAUCCUGAGAAAAAUCUACAAUUUUCAGUCAACAGUAUAAAUCUAUUACAAAACCAGCAUCUAGUCAAUGUCAUACUAUCUGUAAAGCAGACAAUUUAAAAUUCUGUCAAAAGAUUAUUAGAUUGAUUUUCCAUAUAAGCAACAGAUACUCUCUAAUAAAAAUAUAAACCCAAAUGAUGAACAUUCAAGAUUUGAGAAUUUGUGUCUAAUCUUACUUUCUUGUCUUUUAAAGCAAAAUUUGUAAAAUCAUUUGAGACGGAGAGAAGAUUAGCUGUGAGCAGCAACAGGCAGUGGGAAGGUGCUGAGUGAAAUUUUUCUUCAGUAUUGUUAAAGUAUUGUUAAAAUUGGAUGUCCUGAAUUGGCUAAUAUUUAUUGUCUUUAAAAUUUUGAACUUUUGGCUUUUGUGUUUGGGAUUAUUUCUGCUUGUUUUGUUCUUAAAACAAAAUCUUCAGAAGUUCUGUGCUUGAAUGUAUGGAAGCCAUAUGCAUUUUCCUACUAUCCAGGAUAUUGAAAGUUUAAUUGGAUGGAGAGGGGACAGAAAAAUCUGAAACCAGCUUUACAAGACAAAACGAAGUCUUGGGACUACAACCUGCUCAAGUGUCUGUGACAAAAAAAGUGGAGAUUCAGAUGCCUGAUAGCAUUGGAGACUUCAGAAGGGAAGCACCUCAAACUCCAAGUCCUACAGUUCCUUACAAGGAGUUCCAAAGGGAAGACAACCCAAAGGCAAGAAGAUAAAUAUGUCUGAGCCUUUAGGACCUGAAAAAGAAGGGAAGCCCCUUUUAAUUUCCCCUAUUGAAGUUUACCUUCAGCACUAAAGUCCAUAAUUUUCGUAUCAGAGGUAAACUACGUAGUACUGUCUAACAAUAAAAUAAAUGAACAUGAAUGAGUAGGCUUACA